rnacentral:rRNA from 1 species
ACUUCUGAGUUUGCUUAAGAUACUUUUCGACUAGAGGGGCAAAGAGGUGCUUGGAACGAAUGGUGUAGUAGUGAAAUGCGUUGAUAUCAUUCGGAACACCGAAAGCGAAGGCAGAGCACUGGGUGCCACCUGACACUGCUAGGACGAAAGCGUGGGUAGCGAAUGGGAUUAGAUACCCCAGUAGUCCACGCUGUAAACGAUGAAUACUAGGCAUGCGCGAGUAUCGACCCUCGUGCGAGCCGUAGCUAACGCGUUAAGUAUUCCGCCUGGGGAGUACGGCCGCAAGGCUAAAACUCAAAGGAAUUGACGGGGACCCGCACAAGCGGUGGAGCAUGUGGUUUAAUUCGACGGUAAGCGAGGAACCUUACCAGGGUUUGACAUGUAGCUGCAAGCGCACGGAAACGUGUGAUCUUC